GGGGGUGACAGGUGACAGAGUGAGGGAAGGGGAGACUAGUGACAGAGUGAGGGAAGGAAGGGGUGACUAGUGACAGAGUGAGUGCCUGUCACUAGUCACCACCUCCCUCACUUUGUCCCUAGUCACCCCUCACUCUGUCAAUAGUCACCCCUCUCUCUCUCUGUCACUAGUCACCCCCUCCCUCUCUCUGUCACUAGUCACCCCCUCCCUAACUUUGUCCCUAGUCACUCCUC